UAAAAGCUUAUUAGGUUUAUUAGUUAGUUAAUUCCGAUUCAGCAAAAAUUUGAUACGAAUAUAAUAUGCAUAAAAUUCGUUUUCUAACUUUUAAAUUUGAUAAAAAAAAUUAAGCUUAAAAAACGGAUUCAGUAUAAAAUAUAAAAAAUAAUAUAUAAAAUAUAAGAUAAUCUAUAUUUAAACAUAAAAAUUAUAAAUUUUUUAUUCAGAUUUUCAAUAAUUCGGAAAUAAUUCGUGAAUUAUUCGGCUGACACAAAAAUUCACGAAUAAUUUCCUUUCUUUGAAAAAAAAUUUGUAAAUGGACCGUUUAAUUCGGAUUUUCAAUAAUUCGCGAAUAAUUCACAAAUUAACUAACAAAGAUUUAGACCUUUAUAUAUAU
rnacentral:lncRNA from 1 species